UACGUAGGGACCAAGCGUUGUUCGGAUUUACUGGGCGUAAAGGGCGCGUAGGCGGCGCGGUAAGACACUUGUGAAAUCUCUGAGCUUAACUCAGAACGGCCAAGUGAUACUGCAGUGCUAGAGUGUGGAAGGGGCAAUCGGAAUUCUUGGCGUAGCGGUGAAAUGCGUAGAUAUCAAGAGGAACACCUGAGGUGAAGACGGGUUGCUGGGCCAACACUGACGCUGAGGAGCGAAAGCGUGGGGAGCGAACAGG
rnacentral:rRNA from 1 species